rnacentral:rRNA from 1 species
GACGAACGCGGCGGCGUGCUUAACACAUGCAAGUCGAACGGUGAAGGGGCCUGCUUUUGUGGGUCCUGGAUGAGUGGCGAACGGGUGAGUAACACGUGAGUAACCUGCCCCCUUCUUCUGGAUAACCGCAUGAAAGUGUGGCUAAUACGGGAUAUUCUGGGUCUGUCGCAUGGUGGGCCUGGGAAAGAUUGCGCUUUUUUGGUGUUUUUGGUGGGGGAUGGGCUCGCGGCCUAUCAGCUUGUUGGUGGGGUGAUGGCCUACCAAGGCGGUGACGGGUAGCCGGCCUGAGAGGGUGGACGGUCACACUGGGACUGAGACACGGCCCAGACUCCUACGGGAGGCAGCAGUGGGGAAUAUUGCACAAUGGGCGCAAGCCUGAUGCAGCGACGCCGCGUGAGGGAUGGAGGCCUUCGGGUUGUGAACCUCUUUCGCCAGUGAAGCAGGCCUGCCUCGUUUGUGGGUGGGUGACGUAGCUGAUAA